rnacentral:rRNA from 1 species
AUUGAACGCUGGCGGCAGGCCUAACACAUGCAAGUCGAACGGGUGGCGGACGUGUGAGUAAUGUCUGGGCAACUGCCUGAUGGAGGGGGAUAACUACUGGAAACGGUUGCUACUACCGCACACCCUCAGCUGUGCCCAGAUGGGUUUAGCUUGUUGGUGGGGUAACGGCUCACCAAGGCGACGAUCCCUAGCUGGUCUGAGAGGAUGAUCAGCCACACUGGAACUGAGACACGGUCCAGACUCCUACGGGAGGCAGCAGUGGGGAAUAUUGGACAAUGGGCGCAAGCCUGAUGCAGCCAUGCCGCGUGUGUGAAGAAGGCCUUCGGGUUGUAAAGUACUUUCAGCGGGGAGGCGUUACCAACAGAAGAAGCACCGGCUAACUCCGUGCCAGCAGCCGCGGUAAUAC